UUUUUCUUUGUUUCUUUUUUCUUUUUCCUCCCCUUUGAACUGGAAAAUGGCCCACUUCCCACUGGCGAAAACUCAUGAAAUUUGGCAGGACGACCGGGCCUGGUGAAAAAUUUGAUAUUCCGAAGUCGCCCAAACAAUAAAAUGCAAAAUGGCUCCAUAGCGCCCCCUAAGGUGAAAAUUCACAUGACGGCUGUACGCUUUGUCAUAUUGACACAAAAAUUGACACACACAUGUAUCUCAAUAAGAUCUACAAAAAAGUCAGUGCGGGCGUAUCUGUCAAAUGUACGGUUAAUGGGUUAUUUUGCAUUUUUUGCAGAUCUGCACACAUUGGAAUUUCGCUAACUCCUCCGAAGGCUUUCGUUCCACCGGCACCACAUUUGCUCAGGCCAAUCUACACCCCAUGGCCAUUAAAAGUUAUUCAAAUCAUGACGCUGCACCCCACGGUUUAGGUUCUAGGGGGCGCCAAAAAUAACCCUAAAAUCCACAUAUUUCAAAGUCUUAUAACUUUUUAUUUCUGUCCUCACUGGCCUCCAAGUUUUCUAGGAUGAUGCAAUGUCCAGCCAUCAACACAUUUGUGAAGGAAUUUUUACUCCCCAAAAGAGCGCCCCCCAUGGCAGGAGAAAAAAGUCCAUUUUUUCUUGUCCCCUAAGGUGAAAAUACACAUUGUUGAGAUUCACGCCUUUACGCUUUGGCAAAAUGACACAAAAAUUGACACACACAUGUAUCUCAAUAAGAUCUACAAAAAAGUCUAUGAGCGCGUAUCUGUCAAAUGUACGGUUAAAGGGUUAUUCCGCAUUUUUUGCCGAUACGCACACAUUGGAAUGUGGCUAACUCCUCCGAAGGCUUUCGUUCCACCGGCACCACAUUUGCUCAGGCCAAUCUACACCCCAUGGCCAUUAAAAGUUAUUCAAAUCAUGACGCUGCACCCCAUGGUUUAGGUUCUAGGGGGCGCCAAAAAUAACCCUAAAAUCCACAUAUUUCAAAGUCUUAUAACUUUUUAUUUUUGUCCUCACUGGCCUCCAAGUUUUCUAGGAUGAUGCAAUGUCCAGCCAUCAACACAUUUGUGAAGGAAUUUUUACUCCCCAAAAGAGCGCCCCCCCAUGGCAGGAGAAAAAAGUCCAUUUUUUCUUGUCCCCUAAGGUGAAAAUACAUAUUGUUGAGAUUCACGCCUAUACGCUUUGUCAUAUUGACACAAGAUUUGACAAUCACGUGCCUUGCCUGGUAUCAUUUUUUUCAGCACAACCUCACCUGUGCGAAUUUACAGUUAUUUUAUCAUGUUGACAUACUGAAUUUACACAAUGGACCCAAAUUCACACACAAAACAUAAAAUCCGAGUGGAAAAAAGUAACAUUUUUACUGUGAAAACCACAAAUAUGUGUGAUGAACUGUUUUUAAAACUUAAACUUCAAAUAAAAAUUGUAAACUUCAAAACAUAUGCAAA